AAUGAAGAUUAAUCCCCCAUAGUCUCUUUUAAUGGCAUCAUUACAAGAGUAAAGGUUACGGUAUAAGAUGAGUAUGCGUUCUAUUAGUUUGUUGGUGAGGUAACGGCUCACCAAGACUGCGAUAGAUAGGGGCCCUGAGAGGGGGAUCCCCCACACUGGUACUGAGACACGGACCAGACUCCUACGGGAGGCAGCAGUGAGGAAUAUUGGACAAUGGAGGCAACUCUGAUCCAGCCAUGCCGCGUGCAGGAAGACUGCCCUAUGGGUUGUAAACUGCUUUUAUACAGGAAGAAACCUUGGUACGUGUACCAAGCUGACGGUACUGUAAGAAUAAGGAUCGG
rnacentral:rRNA from 1 species